rnacentral:rRNA from 1 species
AACGAACGCUGGCGGCAUGCCUAACACAUGCAAGUCGAACGAGACCUUCGGGUCUAGUGGCGCACGGGUGCGUAACGCGUGGGAACCUGCCCUUAGGUUCGGAAUAACUCCCCGAAAGGGGUGCUAAUACCGGUUAAUGUCUUCGAACAAAAGAUUUAUCGCUUUUGGAUGGGCCCGCGUUGGAUUAGCUAGUUGGUAGGGUAAAAGCCUACCAAGGAGACGAUCCAUAGCUGGUCUGAGAGGAUGAUCAGCCACACUGGGACUGAGACACGGCCCAGACUCCUACGGGAGGCAGCAGUGGGGAAUAUUGGACAAGGGGCGAAAGCCUGAUCCAGCAAUGCCGCGUGAGUGAUGAAGGCUUGAGGGUUGAAAAGCUCUUUUACCGGGGAUGAUAAGGACAGUACCGGGGGAAUAAGCUCGGGCAAACUCGG